GGCAAAUAAGGCCGGUGUAAGGUUGGUUUGUUUGUUUGUUUGUUUGUUUGCCUGUAAGUGAUUUUAAGGAUGAAAAUAGUUUUCUGUUAUAUACUGAGUUCAGGUGAGAAGAUUUUUUCACUGCUGUUUGUUUAAUAGAAAGUUAUGAUUUUGAAACGGUUAACUAUCUAUCUCACUCUUUAUUUAUUUUACUGAAAAUUCUUACACUAGUACAUAAAAAAAAAAAAAAGAGAAAAAGGCUGCAGCAGUUAAUUUUUUAUUAUUUUUCUAUUUCGUUCUCUUUCAUUAUUGACUUUAACACUACCCACUGCAAACUCAAUUAUGGUAUUUUGGGAUAGCAGAGAUACAGACAAAUUUAAUUUACGACAAUCAAAUAAUGAAAGUGAAUAUUUACGGUAAAAAAUAACUCCACUUUCUUUUUACUCUAGCGGUGAAAUAUCUCUUGUUUUGUUAUCUCCGAACAGCAACUUUGAAUAGCAAAGAUUUCUUAUUUCGUACGUUAUCUUUUUUUUCUUUUUUUUUUUGAAAAAAUACUUGUUUCUUCCUUCUAUAUUGUUAGAGCUAGCUGGACCUUUUGUUCUUUUUUUCUUUUCCUACUUCACCAAGAGGCUCUGAAAUUGACACGAGAAGAACCAGAAUUGGACAAGUAGAUGACAUAAGAGAUUGUUCACAUCUUCUUACUGUCUCAUUGGAAAGAUGCUCUUCUUUUCUAUUAUGGUAAAGAGUAGUGUACUCAAAUACUAACUUUGUGGACUUUUCCUCCUUUAUGAGGGCUUCUUCCUACCUACUUGCUUAAAUGCAUUUUGGUCUCUUCUCUGUUGAAGAGAAACACCAAGUAGUGAAGCAACAAAGGAGGAGUUGAUCUGUCCUCAUCAGUGCUAAUAUACCUAUGUAAAUUUGUGCAAAUUUUGCACGAAAACAUGAUUAUGCUCUGUUACUAAAAACAGAAACGCAUUUCAUUCCCCUGAAAGAGUUUUUUCGUAGUUAUUGAUGCGGUGGUAAACCAUGUGGAAUCCAUGUGGGAAACAAUCAGUCAAAACUCUUUAUAUCAGCUAGAUGCUAACCUGCUACAUUAACAAAUCUAUAAAAACAAUAUUUUGAAAGACUUGCAGUUAUACUCUUUAAGAAAAACCUCUGAAAAACUAACGGUGGGACCUACCACGCGGCUUUUGAGAAAGCUCUGAAUUUGGAGCUUUCUCAACAGAUCGCUCUUUUGCAGUUGUGUGCUGCAAACGCGGGCGCGAGUGCACGACCGUACGGUCAAAUAGUCACUAAAGCAAAAUCUACAUCUAGAUACACGGAAAAGUGAUAAAAUUUAAAAUUCUAAAAUGCUCCGUCAAGCAAAACUCAAGUCAAAAUCAGUCAAUAAAUAAUUUGUAGCGGCCAGUUUCAAUAUAUAUUAUUUUGCGGAUGUUAAAAACAGCGCCCGAAAAUAUUUAAAACGCCCAUCAAAUUUUGUGGGACUGAAUUUUUCUAUACAAAGGUCUUAGCAUGUGCUACAUUAUUUUGCUGGGAAAGUAGAUAAAUCAUUCAUCCUAUUCAAUAAUAAGCAUUUACGAAUACUGUACAAGCAUUACCUAACUUUGAUCUCAUGUCACAUUCAGUGAGGACCGAGUUCGAUUCGCUGAGGACCUAUUUGAUAUUGAAUGUCGUCUGAUGCUAUUGGGUAAGCCACGAUUCAAUCUCAGAUGAACGCGAAGCAUAUCUCGUGAUUUAAAUAGUCAGUAUGGAGGUUUCUAGUUGUGAGUUAGGGUGGCAACCCAGCUCGCCGUUCGCGAGCCAGCUCGUUUCGGCUCGAAAUGAAGCUCCAAGAUCGAAUCGCUCGUUUAGUAAACGAGCCGAACACGAGCUGAAUUUUUCAGCUCGUUUAAUAAACGAGCCGAACACAAGUUAGGGUCAGCUCGCUCGUGUUCGACUCGUUAACAGCUCGAAUACAUAUAUUUUAUAUUUAUAUAUAUAAAUUAAUAAUUAUAUAUGUAUACAAUAUAAAUUUUUAUUAUUUGAUUUUUAAUCCAACCUAAAUAAAAAGCCCAACUCAAUUAUAAAAUGAUUCAUUUAUGUGUAAAAUUUCAAUCAUAAGAUUAAAGUCUAACGGAUAAAAUUUUAUAAAUUUAUUUUCUAUAUAUAUUCUUUCUAAUCAUGUUAAAUUUUUAUUCAUAAGUCAGCUCGUAUUCGGCUCGAUAUUUUAACGAGCGAGCUCGUAUUCGGCUCGAUAUUUUAACAAGCGAGCUCGUAUUCGGCUCGUUUAUAAAACAAGCUGAACACAAGCCGACCCCAGCUCGCUCGUGUUCGGCUCGUUGACACCCCUAGUUGUGAGGCCACCCAACAACAUAGAAAAUGGAAUAAUUGCUGAUAUUAACACAUUUCUGUAAACUAUUUCAAAUAACUCAUAUAUUUCUAUAAACUAACUUUGAGAAAACUUAAUUAUAUACUCCUAUAAAUUUACAAAAUCUAGUAGAUGCACUUUUACCUUUAUCCGUAUAUAUAGCACCACACCUAUGCUACUUGUUACUGAGGUAAAUUUUUCCACAUUACUAUCAUUGCCAUAAAAUCCAUCAUCUCCAUGAACCAUACAUACUAAGGGUAAAAUAGCCAUUAACUUAAAAUAUCAGGAACUUCCAUCGGUCAAGAAUUGUAUUUAAUUACAAGGUUUAUAUAAUUAUAAGGAUCGAUGGAUCAGUAUUUUCUUUUUAAACUUAUAAAAGCAUAUUAAUUAUUCUAAAGGUUUUAUAAAAAUAUGCUAGUAAUUGGCUAGAAAAGAGAAUGCUUUUGGGCUAAAAUAAAGUUAGUACUCAAAGAACAUUUAAUAAUAUGCUUCUUUAUUUUUCAGUAAAUUAACAGUACGUAUAUCUAUUUUAAGUAAUCUAAAUAAAUCUGUGCAACUUGUUUUCACGUACAGCAAAAAACAAAGUUAUUUUUUAUCAUAUAUUUUGAUCACUCGUAAUUAGACCUGGCAAACGGGCGGAUUGGAUAACCCGCAGGCGGGUCACUUGUACACGUGGAUCAAAUGAAUAUAGAUAAAAUUUAUCCAUAAAUUUUUUGGCGAUCAACAUUUUUACUUACCCAUACCUACUCAUAUAUGCGGGCGGGAGGGUAUGCGGUUUAUCCAUAAGUUUUUUUUUUUUCUUUUUUACUCUUAUACUUUUCAAAUGCAAAACACAUAUAUAAAAUUUUUAAAAAUAUAAUGUAACUUCUUAUUUAAAAUAUCAAAAAUUUUAAAAAUACAUAAAUUACAUAGUAUAAAAAUAUUUUAUCAUUAUAGAGUAUUCAAUAGUAUGAAGAUGACAUACAUAUUUUUUAAUUUAAAAAAUAUAUGCAGAUACUGGUGGGUACCCGCAAAUUGUUCAAAAUAUCCGCCACUCAAGAAAUACCCACCCAUUUUAUUCAAAAUUUUUUGAUAAAAAAAACUAGUACCCAUAUCAGGAAAUUUGUAGAUAACGCGCGGGUAUGUGUAGAAAUUAUCAGAUCCGCACGUAACGUAUUGUGCCCGUGUUUCGGAACAAAGGUAAAAUAACUUUUGCAACAAUUUUACUAGUGUUUUUCUAAGACAUAUCAACCACUUGAGAGUGGAAAAAGCAAAGUUGUUGGAGCCCACCACUUUGAAAGUGGGAAUAAGCAAAAGGCGAAAGAGGAAUUGGCUUUGUGAAAGUGUGAGGACACAAAGCAAGACCAGUCAACCACCGCCCCCUCCUUUAUUAGGAUAUAUUUACAAACCCACAAACCAACUACACUAAUUAAAAUCAUAACCAAUCCAAUCAAAACAAGUACCUGUCUUAAUACACUUUUAAAGAUGCACACAGAGUUGACUUUUAAAAGCCAACCAAUUUGUUACAACAGCAAUGAUUGAUUAUCUUACUAUUCAAUGCAACUGUUACUGUGUCAUCAGAAAAUUGCUUUUUUGUACAUUUUAAAAAAAAGAGUGCAGAUCUUACACUUUUCAUUAAAAAUUUAAAUAGUUUUUAAUAAAAAAAAAAAAAUUAAUUCGACAGUUAGAGUAUUAAUAGUUUUGAGAUGGUGAGCAUAAGAUAUACAUCUCAUUUUGAAGUGUUCGGUAACAUUACUCCCGUUAUAUUAUAACGGGCUAAUUGGUUAGUUGAGAUAGCUUUGAUGCUAAUUUUUUUGUUGACAAAUAAAAUUUUUCAAUUCAAUCACUAUUUACAACUUAAAUUUGAUCUUGAUCUAAUCCGUCUUUAAUAAAGCUGCUCAAGUUAGUAUCGCUUUUAGGACGCUUUGGAUCACUUGUAAACAUUUUCUUAUGUACUGUUGACGUGCCGUCAAAUUUAUGUUAACAUCUUAAAUUGCGUGUGUGGACCAAAUAAUAUUCCUCAUCGUUUAUACUAAUAGAUCAUUACAGAGGAAUUUCAACUAUGGUAAUUUGCAACCGACCAUUCCUAACGCAAGUGUUAAAAUAUUUAGUGAUUGGUACCUAAAGUUUCAAGUUCGAAGCCUAGUUUCUUUAUAUUUCCAGCUAAGUUUAUUUCUAAAAAAAAAUAAACGAAGCGAGAAAAAUAUUAUCUCUCUCUCUCUCUCUCUCUCUCUCUCUCUCUCACAAAAAAAAAAAAAAAAAAAAAAAAAAAAAAAAAAAAAAAAAAAAAAAAAAAAAAAAAAAAAAAAAAAAAAAAAAAAAAAAAAAAAAAAAAAAAAAAAAAAAAAAAAAAAAAAAAAAAAAAAAAAAAAAAAAAAAAAAAAAAAAAAAAAAAAAAAAAAAAAAAAAAAAAAAAAAAAAAAAAAAAAAAAAAAAAAAAAAAAAAAAAAAAAAAAAAAAAAAAAAAAAAAAAAAAAAAAAAAAAAAAAAAAAAAAAAAAAAAAAAAAAAAAAAAAAAAAAAAAAAAAAAAAAAAAAAAAAAAAAAAAAAAAAAAAAAAAAAAAAAAAAAAAAAAAAAAAAAAAAAAAAAAAAAAAAAAAAAAAAAAAAAAAAAAAAAAAAAAAAAAAAAAAAAAAAAAAAAAACUAUAGUACUCUAUAGAGCUAUCAAAUAUUAUUAUGAGGAUCCAAAAUUCCGAGUACAACUACAUCUAAAUUCGGCAAAACAAGUUAAUGGUAUUUCACUUAUUUGCUGACCAAAAAAAAUAAAAAUAAAUGAUACAAUGUGACACCCCAAUUGUCCCACAUCGGAUGAAAAUGGGGUUGUCAUUGGGUUUAUAAGUGACUUAGACACUAUUAAUAAUAACUGGGCUUAAGCAUUUUGGGCUGUUGACUGGGCCCAACGAGUUAUUAUUGCUAGUGGGCUGGGUCGUUAUAUUUGGUAUCAGAGCCGGUUCACCAGCUAGACAUGUGUGGCGAAUCUCGGCUGAGCCAGGGUCUGGAUGACGGGCUAGCGAGACGAGUCUCACAUAGCCUGGUGAUCUUGGGCUGUGUGUGAUUGGACUGACGAGGACGUCAGGACCUUAACGGGGGGAGUCUGUGACACCCCAAUUGUCCCACAUCGGAUGAGAAUGGGGUUGUCAUUGGGUUUAUAAGUGACUUAGACACUAUUAAUAAUAACUGGGCUUAAGCAUUUUGGGCUGUUGACUGGGCCUAACGAGUUAUUAUUACUAGUGGGCUGGGUCGUUACAUACAAUUGGAUGGAAACCUCCUCUCCAUGGGAAAUUCUAAAUUAGCCCCUGAUUUAUAAUUCUUUUUAAUUGGGACACCCUUAACUUUUGAUUCUCGGGAAUUAAGUAAUUUUAGUCAAAUAAAUUAAAUAUCUUAUCAAAUUUAUUCAUUCUUUUAAAAUUAAUAAUUUAAAUUACUUUAUAACAAAAUAAAAUUGUAUUAAUUAAUCAGUAUUAGUAGCUAAUUAAGCUAAUAAAUACAACAAAAUUAUAAACUUAAUUAACUAGAAAAACUCAAGUAUUAAAAGAAAGGGGCAAAGUUUAAAGUUGAAGUGUCUUUUUUAGAACGUGAUGUAGUUGAGGGCAACUCCAUACAUUUUCACUCAAUUUUUGUGAACUUAAACAAUUUUUGGUUGAUUGAGUUAUUCCACACAUGUGAUAUGAACAGUGCAGUGACUUGCUUUUCUACAUAAUAACCUUUUGGAGAGAUACAUUUAUAAGGUAAAAAUAUUAUUUCACUUAUCUAUUAUUAAAACAUAAAUAAUAUUCUAACGGUAACAAACCAGAGGGGAAAAUGUGAAUAUUACUGAACUUCUGUAGAAAUAAAAAUAAAAAAUUGAACUUUGUAAAGAUAUAUUCACUAUUCGAUAAGUUUACAUAAAGCUAUACGCAAUUAAUCCAAAAUUUUAAUUCAAAUGUGUACAUUUUUCUUGCCAACAUUUUUUUUAAUACUAAACCAUGAAAUGGUUUUUAAAUCCUUAAAUAAUGGAUGUAAGAUGUACAUCAUAUUUAUAUAAUGCACAAAAGGCUUCUUUUAAAUUGAUUAGCAAGUAGUAGCAGAAUAUUUAAAUUUCAGGGAAUAGCAUUUUGAUUAGUGCUUACUUACAAAUAAAUUUUAUAGCACAUCAACACAUGUGUUGUUAAAUUUAAUUGAUAGAAAAAUAUUAGUUAUGAAGUGAUAGCUAGCUAUGAUUUACAAAGCAAAGAAUAAAAACUAACCACUAAAUGCUAAAAUGUAGAAAACUUUUCUCAAUAUAUUUUAUCCUAAUCAAUAAUAAAAACUAGUAAAAGAAAACUUUUCCCAAUCUCUAUGCUAUUAUUUGUUAACAUAUUUUAUAAUUUUAUUUGUUAUAAAAUGUUGAAAAAACUCUAAUAUAAGGUAUCGUUUGGUUCGGAGAUAAGCAAAAAGUGACUAUUCCAGAUAUAGGUAUAAAUUGAGAUAUAAGCGGCGAUUAGAUAAAUUUUACGUUUGGAUGAAAAUUAGAUUAUUCCUGAGAAUAAGAAAAAUAGAAUUUGGUUAGGUAAGAUGGAAUAAGAAAGAUAGUUGGUAGUUAUAAAUAAAAAAUAAUGAUAUUACCCAUUCAUUAUAUUUGAAUUUAAAAUUUUUAAAUUUUAAAUUUGUAUUUUUAAUUUAAAAUUUUAACUUUUAAAUUUCAAAUUUUGAAAUUAAAAUUUAAAAUUUAAAAUUUAAAAUCUCAAAUUUUAAAUUCAAAAUUUUAAAUUUUAAAUUUUAAAUUUUAAAUUUUAAAUUUCAAACUUUAAAUAUAAGAUCAAAUUUAAAUUUGAAAAAUAUAAAAUAUAAAAUUUUAAAUUUUAAAAAUUUAAAAUAUCAAAAUUUAAAUUUAAAAUUUAAAAUUUGGAAUUUAGAAUUAUGAACUUUAAUUUUGAGAUUACAAAUUUUAAAUUUUAAAAAUUUAAAUUUUAAAUUUAAAUAUUUAUAUUUUAAAUUUUUUAAAUAAGAAUAGGGUGGGAACAAUUAAUAAAAAUAAUUUAUUAUAAUAAAAUUAUAAAUUUGAUAAAAAUAAAUAUUUUAAUAAAUUUAUAAAUUUUUUAUUAUUAAUAAAUUUAUAAUUUUUUUUAAAUUUCUACUUAAACUUAAAUUUAAUAAAAAUAACUUAUUAUAAUAUUUAUAUAUAAUUUAUUAUAAUAUUUAAAUACAAAUAAUAUUAUUAAUAUAGUACAAUUAAUAAUUUUAUAAUAAAAAAUAUAUAUUAUAAUAUAUAACAUACUAUAUUUAUAUAAUUUAGUUUUAAUUCAAUUCAUAAUUUUAAUUAAGUUUGAAAUUAAACAUUGGAAUAUCACUAUUCCAUCAAAAUGGUGGAAUAGCAAAUUCCAAGCUAUUCCGGAAUAGUCGGGAAUAGCAAGGUUUGAUCGGGAUAAAAUAUUCCAGCAAAAAAUUAUUUUGUUUGGCGAAAUAACGGGCAUAACUUCCCCGCUUAUACCGCCAACCAAACGGAGCCUUAGUAAAUUAUUUGUUACUUCAUAUACCAACUAUAAAUAUUAUUCAUAUGAUGAGAAGUUGCAUCCUAGCAUUCAAGAUGAUUAGUUUUUCUUUUAUUUUCUUUUUUUACUAUUAUAUAAAUAAGCUACGAGAUGACUAGGAAGACAAUAAAAUAUAUUGUUUUUUCAAUAUAAAUGACACACAUUUAAUAUUUGAAAUAAUAUGUAAAAAUUAAAUAAUGAUUUAUAGACAAUAACAUAAUAAUAAGAAAGGUAAUAACAACAUAAAAGUUAAGAUAAAUUUCUAUAUAAUUUUAUUAUCAAAGAAACCCAGUGUUCAAAAAAGUGUAAUUUGGUGAGGGAGGUUUUUGUAUCUUAGUUUUUAUAUGAACAUAAAUUAUUUAUUUAUAAUAUCAAAUGAAUUAGGCUCCAUUUGGAAUUACAAUCAUGCACGCUUAUCAAGAAUUAUGAUGUUAUGUUAUGUACAUUGCAAUGAUUUCGUUAUUAUAUAAUUUUUGCAAUUCCAGAGAAUAGAUAGAAACACCCUUUUAUUUUUUUGUCUUUUUAUUUUGCCAAAUAAUAUUAGAUAAUUUUUAGAGUAAAUUACACUUUUGCUCUGGUGCGCGUGACACUUUAGUCCUCAAAUUUUAAUUCGUUAUACUUUCUGUCUCGAAUUUUCUAAAUUAUAACAAUCAAAUCCACAACAUAAUUUUUUGAACUAAAUGAUGAUAAAUUACUAAUAUAGAAGUAAUAUAGUAAAGUCAUAAUAGAUGAUGCAAUAUAAUUAAGAUGGUACAUCAGUUUUAAAUUAGUAAUUUAAAAAUAAUUGGUCGAAAAAAUCAAAAAAAUAAAUUAUGGUAUUUGAUUGUAAUAAUUCAGAAAGUUUUGAGCUAGAAAUUAUAUUGAAUUAAAUUUUGAGAAAUAAAAUAUCAUACACAUCGUAGUUUGAGGACGAGAAGUGUAAUUUAUUAGAAGGCCGUAUUAGAGACACGUGGUUCCAACCAUUUCAGUUGAAUCUCAUCAAAUCAAAUAUCAUAUUAAGAUCCAUAUAGAGGGACAAAAAUUUUAUGAGCACGUGUCCAAACAAUUUGUUUGGGCACGGAGCCCCGAUGGAUGCCGCAUGUGUACUGCUGCCACGCGGCGCCCAUCGCCUACUGCUCUCUCAAUAUUGGGAGAGCAGUGGAAUUUCAUGAUCCACCUGGUGCAUUUAUACCAAGUGCACCAUAAAAAUAAAUUUUUUUAUUUAUUUUUAAUUGCAACUUAAUAUGUUAGUAUAUAUGUUAUGAUUUAGAAUUUAUAUGGUCUACAAUUCACGGUUAUUGAUUUAGAAAAUUAAAAUCUUAAAAUAAAUUUAUUUUUAGUUUUGUGGAAUAGGAUAGAUAAUUUUUAUUACUCCUAAUUUUUCCGGAAUCAAAUAAAGUUUAAAAUUUUAACUUCUACAUGAUAACUCCUAAAUAUAUAUAUAUAAAUUAUUAUAUAAAAUUAUAAUUUUAAAAAUUAAAAGUAAAAUUUUAUUUUUAUAGUGCACCUGGUAUAGAUGCACCAGGUGCAUCCUAAAAUUCCACUACUCUCCCAAUGGAGAGCAGUGGGCGAUGGGCGCCGCGUGGCGUCCGUACACAGGCGGCGCCCAUCGGGGCUUUGUGCCCAAACAAAUUGUUUGGGCAUGGUGCCCAUAAAAUUUUUGUCCCAUAUAGAGUUAGAAAAAUUAUAUCACUACAUGCAAUUAAACGUUCCAUAAAUAUUUAAAUAAAUUGUUUAAUAGUGGCGUGCUAUUCGCGCAAGAAGUUGAGGGCGGGUCCUACCUCACUAACAUGUUUUUGAACGGGCUUUUUUAGUAAAUGACCCUUGAAAAAAUUUUAUUUUAAAAAUAACUCAGUUAAAAUUUAAUUUGCAAAAAUGAUCCUGCCCCUGCCACGCAGGCGUCACGUCAGCGCCACACGGGCAGGGCUGGGGCAGUGUGUUUAGAAAUCAAAUUUCAUACAUUUUCGAUAGUGUUCUCUUAUCCAUCGAGUGGACACAAAAAUGAAUUGCUGAAAAUGAAUAUUCUUAAAAAAAUGAUGAUAGGAGUCUUGUAAUCUAGAUCAAGAGUAUAGAUCUUGUUUUAAAUAGUUUAAAGAAUUUUCUAACAAAAAUUUAAUUGAUUUGGAUUCUUUACGCCGUUAAACGAGAAAAUGCCUCAUAUUGACCAUUAAAAUUACAAAUUUUGAAACCCUUUGAUCAUUGGGCAAAUGAUGUCGAAAAGAUUUGAAAUUUGAUUUCUAAACACUUCAAGUGGUAUAGAUCAUGUUCAACAAUGCCGAUCGUCGAUUUAGAGACUUGAUCAUUGAAAACAAAUGGGUGGCAACGGAGCCCGUUUGCUAUCGAUAGUAUUCUAGCUCAACUCUAUAUAUAUAAUACUUAUACAUUGUUGUCUUACGUAUUAUUGUGAGCCUUUCUUUAGUCAUAUUAACUGCAAUAUGAUAUUUUUUUGAUUAUUGUGUUAUAAAAAUAAUUUUAAUCAUCCAUUUGCAUGAUAUGCGGCCUCUUUUGAACAAGAUUGAAUAAUUUUGUUGGAAUAAUUGAUUCUUUUUCAUUAUAGUUUUUUAUUAAAAAAAAUGUUUGUCUAUAAUAUAGACUAUAUUUAUUAUUUUUUAUACUAAACUAAUAUUUUAUUUUUUACAAAUUUUCACUUUAACAGUAUUUACUCGCCGUAACACGCGGGUCACUACACUAGUAUAAUUAAAGAUGUGGUUAAUUUAGACUUAGACUAUACAUACAUACGUACAUACAGUUGAAACAACAAUUUAUAUAUAUACUUAUGAAUCGAGAACUGGGAGUUCUUUGGCCCCCGACGUGGCGGGCACGGGCGAGCAAGGUGCGAGCCGGCGCGGACUCGAGCCCGCGCAGACUUUCUUUUUUUUUCUUUUUUUCUAUGGGACCCACUCCUAUCUCUCUCUCUUUUGAUUUUUUUUUUCCUUUUCUAACCCUUCUUAUUUUAGAGUGUUAUUGGCCACAUACAAAAAAAAAAUUUAAUUUAAAUUUAAAAUUUAAAUUUAAAUUGAUUAUUAGUGAUUUUUGAAUAUGUUGCUUAACUUUAUAUAUUUAGUUAGUAUAUUUUAUGUAAUUGUUGUAAUUAAAUAUAUUUUAAAAAAACUAAAUUGUAGUGUUUUUUAUAAAAAUAGAUUAUUUAUAUCUAAAUAAUUAUAUAAUUAAAAUUAAUAUUUAAUACAUACAAUCUAAAAUAUUAAAAAAUUAGACAUAAAUAAUUAUAUAUUUUAAAGUUUUAUUAUAAUUAAAACACAAACUUAUGAAUUUACAAUCUGAACCCGAAUGGGAUGUUAAGAUCAGUAUUAUUAUUUGUAAUCAAAACUUGCAUAUCUGAUACAAUUGAUCGCAUGUGAAAAUAUCUCUAAAACUUUCUUAUUUAAUUAAUUAAAAUAUAUCAUUAUUUACUUUAUAAAAAAUAUAUUUAAUUAUUUAUUAAUUAUUUAUAAAGAAAAUAAAUGAACCCGUUGCGUAGGGAUUCCUUAACUAGUACUUGUUAUUUUGGAACCCAAAGGAAGCCUCCCCGGUUUGGAGGGCUGCCGGUGGGGCCCAACUCUUUUUUUUUUUUUUUUUUUUUUUUUUCCUCUAUCCACUCUCUCUCUCUCUCUCUCACUUUCUUUUUUUUUUUCACAUACAAUUUUUUUUUUUUUUUGCUUACAGCAAGUGUUAAAAUUUAUCCAUGAAUUAAUCUAUUUUUCAAUAGUCAUAUAGCAAAAUUAAAAUUUCAGCUAAUAAAUAUCAACCUUUUUUUUAUUUUUCUACAUCAAGUAUAAAAUUUUAUCCUAUAGAAAAAUUUAUUUUUUAUUAGUCAAAUAAAAAAUUAAAAUUUUCUAAUUGGGAACCUGAAAGGACCUCUCUUAUUUUGGAGGGUUGUGUACCCACAAAUUUUCAGAUAUUCUUUUUUUUGUUCCUAAAUUUUUUCAAAUCUCUUAAUUUCAUCGCGAUAAGAAGUAGCAAUAUUAAAAAAUAUUUUAAAAUUAACGAAAUUAUUAUGCCAUCGCCGAUCGCCUAUUUAACUUUUUUUUGCAUGCCAAUUUUGAUUUCUAAAUUUUGCAUGCUUUUCACUUCAGUCCCAAAACAUAUAUGAAUUGACCAUACUAAAGAAGGUCUUUUCUUAUUUUGGAGGGUUGUGGGGUCCACACAAUUUUUUUAAAAAUUAAUUUACAUAAUAAUAAUAAUAUAAUAUAUUAGAUUAUUUAUUUGGUAGUUAAAAUUUUUACAGUGUAAAAAUAUCUGUUUGAUUAGUCUUAUUUUUUAUACUUACAUAAUUAUCUACUGAUUUCUUCACUAAUCUAAAAUUUAGAAAUCAAAUACUUAUUAGUUGUAUUACCUACUAUUUUUUUAAGGAUUAAUUUAUAUAAGAUUUAAAUAUUUUUAGAAAGAAAUCUACUUUAAUUUAUUCUUUAAUUUUUUAUUAUUUAAUACUGAGAUAAAUAAUAUUUAAAAAUAUUAAUAUAUAAUAAAAAAAAUAUUAAUAAUUAUAAUAAUUUAUUGUUAUAUUAUCUUUCCGCUAGUACCUUCACUAUUUGAAAAUGUUGUUUACAAGUGUCACGCCAUUGGCGGAAGUAGUUGGGGGUUGGUCCCACAAGACUAACUUCAAAAAAUAAAGAAAAAAAAGGUAGCAAUAUCAUAUAUGUUUGUGUGGAGUGAGGAGUGUGGAGUGUGAAGUGUGAACACGGAGUCGGUCUCCCUCUCGUUGUUCGGCUGCGUCGUCACCUCUCCCUGAAGCACUCAACAGUGACUCCUCCGAUAGUGACCCUUUGUUUUUUUUUUUUUUUUUCGAGAGACAGAUAACACGCUAACUGUUCAUUUAUUUUAUUUAAAAAUAAAUUUAAUUAAAAAUAUGAAUCAACUAUAAUUCGAAUUUGAAAUUUGGGAUACCAAUCACCAAGUUCUUUGAUACUUGCUCUAGGAACGGUAGGUUGAAUUCGUAAUUUUCAAAUCAGGAGAACCUUUUUUUACUGCAUAGAUUUAAAUACAUAGAUUGUGAACAUUUUGUGAUGAUUGUUCAGUAAUUUUUCAUGUUAUUCACCCACGCCACUAUAAUUAUUAUCUACCUAUAUUUAUACACAGUAAAUUGCGUUACAAGUACUGUUCAAUAAUAAUAAACCUUCCAAGAAAAAUAAUUUAGGAAUUCUCCCUAAUUUCCCAUGCUCCCCGCCAAAAAAAAAAAAAAAAAAAAAAAAAAAANUAAAAUUAAAUUUCAUCUAAUUGGAAAUCCAAAAAAGAUUUUCCUUUAUUUUAGAGGGUUGUGCGGCCCACAAUUUUUUUAGGAUUAAUUGUAUAAUGUUUCCCAAACUUUUCACUAUUUUUUUUUUGUUCCUAAAUUUUUUCAAAUCUCUUAAUUUCAUCGCGAUAAAGUAGCAACUAUUAAAAAAUAUUUUAAAAUUAACGAAAUUAUUAUGCCAUCGCCGAUCGCCUAUUUAACUUUUUUUUGCAUGCCAAUUUUGAUUUCUAAAUUUUGCAUGCUUUUCACUUCAGUUCCCAAAACAUAUAUGAAUUGACAAUACUAAAGAAGGUCUUUUCUUAUUUUGGAGGGUUGUGGGGUCCACACAAUUUUUUUAAAAAUUAAUUUACAUAAUAAUAAUAAUAUAAUAAUAUUAGAUUAUUUAUUUGGUAGUUAAAAUUUUUUACAGUGUAAAAAAUAUCUGUUUUGAUUAGUCUUAUUUUUUAUACUUCUAAUAAUUAUCUACUGAUUUCUUCACUAAUCUAAAAUUUAGAAAUCAAAUACUUUAUUAGUUGUAUUACCUACUAUUUUUUUGUUUUAUUUUAUAAUGAUUUAUUUAUUUUACUUAUUAAAUUUAAAUAUUUUUUGAAAGAAAUCUACUUUAAUAUUAUUUUUGAAUUUAUUUUUUAAUUUUUUAUUAUUCAAUACUGAGAUAAAUAAUAUUUAAAAAUAUUAAUGCAUAAUAUUUAAAAAAUAUCUGUUUUGAUUAGUCUUAUUUUUUUAAUUCUAAAUUUAUCUACUGAUUUCUUCACUAAUCUAAAAUUUAGAAAUCAAAUACUUUUUAGUUGUAUUACCUACUAUUUUUUUGUUUUUUUAUAAUGAUUAUUUAUUUACUUAUUAAAUUUAAAUAUUUUUUGAAAGAAAUCUACUUUAAUAUUAUUUUUGAAUUUAUUUUUAAUUUUUAUUAUUCAUACUGAGAUAAAUAAUAUUUAAAAAUAUUAAUAUUAAUAAAAAAAAUAUUAAUAAUUAUAAUAAUUUAUUGUUAUAUUAUCUUUCCGCUAGUACCUUCACUAUUUGAAAAUGUUGUUUACAAGUGUCACGCCAUUGGCGGAAGUAGUUGGGGGUUGGUCCACAAGACUAACUUCAAAAAAUAAAGAAAAAAAAGGUAGCAAUAUCAUAUAUGUUUGUGUGGAGUGAGGAGUGGGAGUGUGAAGUGUGAACACGGAGUCGGUCUCCCUCUCGUUGUUCGGCUGCGUCGUCACUCUCUCCCUGAAGCACUCAACAGUGACUCCUCGAUAGUGACCCUUUGAAUUCCUAUUUUUUUUUUUUUUUUUUUUUUUCGAGAGACAGAUAACACGCUAACUGUUUCAUUUAUUUUAUUUAAAAAUAAAUUUAAUUAAAAAUAUGAAUCAACUAUAAUUCGAAUUUGAAAUUUGGAGAUACCAAUCACCAAGUUCUUUGAUACUUGCUCUAGGAACGGUAGGUUGAAUUCGUAAUUUUCAAAUCAGGAGAACCUUUUUUUACUGCAUAGAUUUAAAUACAUAGAUUGUGAACAUUUUGUGAUGAUUGUUCAGUAAUUUUUCAUGUUAUUCACCCAGCCACUAUAAUUAUUAUCUACCUAUAUUUAUACACAGUAAAUUGCGUUACAAGUACUGUUCAAUAAUAAUAAACCUUCCAAGAAAAAUAAUUUAGGAAUUCUCCCUAAUUUCCCAUGCUCCCGCCNNNNNNNNNNNNNNNNNNNNNNNNNUAAAAAAAUAUUAAUAAUUAUAAUAAUUUAUUGUUAUAUUAUCUUUCCGCUAGUACCUUACUAUUUUGAAAAUGUUGUUUACAAGUGUCACGCCAUUGCGGAAUAGUAUUGGGUUGGUCACAAGACUAACUUCAAAAAUAAAGAAAAAAGGUAGCAAUAUCAUAUAUGUUUGUGUGGAGUGAGAGUGUGGGAGUGUGAAGUGUGGAACACGGAGUCGGUCUCCCUCUCGUUGUUCGGCUGCGUCGUCACCCUCUCCUGAAGCACUCAACAGUGACUCCUCCGAUAGUGACCCUUGAAUUCCUUAUUUUUUUUUUUUUUUUUUUUUUUCGAGAGACAGAUAACACGCUAACUGUUAUUUAUUUUAUUUAAAAAUAAAUUUAAUUAAAAAUAUGAAUCAACUAUAUUCGAAUUUGAAAUGGAAUACCAAUCACCAAGUUCUUUGAUACUUCCUAGGAACGUAGGUUGAAUUCGUAAUUUUCAAAUCAGAGAACCUUUUUUACUGCAUAGAUUUAAAAUACAUAGAUUCUGUGACAAUUUUUGAUGUGCCGUUGGUUCAAUUAUUUUUCGACUGUUAUUCACUCGCACGCAGCUGAAUUUUGUUUUAUGUGUUAUUUACGCUUAAUACUGACUCUCGAACAGGAUUUUUGAAUUUUCCGUGAGAAGUGAAGCUCGAUGUCUUUGAGAAUGAUACCGUGUGGUGUAGGUAUUGCGGGAUAGUUACAAUACUGUUUUCAAUAAUAUAACUUCCUAGAAAAUAAUUUUAAAUUUUCUCCCUAAUUUUCCAAUGCUCCCGCCCAAAAAAAAAAACAAAAAAAAAAAAACAAAUUGGCAAGCGCAGUUAAAAUACACGCGAAGAUGAUGGCCAAAUAGCAUCUGUCGAGAAAAGAGUGUGGUUCUUGGAUGCACUGGCCUAAAAAUUUUGGGAGCAUGCGUUCCCUAGUACGGCAACUAUCCGACUUUGCGCCUUCCGCAAAAAAAAAAAAAAAAAAAAAAAAAAAAAAAAAAAAACCAAAUGGCAAAGCGCAGUAACAACACGCGAAGAUGAGGGGCAAAAGCGUCAACGGAAUCUACCGAACUCCCCGAGCUUCCUGGAACGGCAGUGGCCGAGAGCGUCGGCGCCGCCGUGGCAUCGGGGCGGCUGCGACGUCGCGCUGCAGCGGAGGUCGCCGGAGAAGUCCAGGUCCGCGGCGCGGCUCCGGCGGCUGCGGCGGCGGCCGCCGGGGCUCGGCCUCAUCAGGGGGCUCAGGCACACCGCGAACCCCGAGACCCCUCCGCCGCCGCCGACGCCGCCGCGGCGGUGGCGUGGCCCGCGCCGCAUCGGCGACGGGGUCGGGUGGAGCCACGGCGACUCCCUCGAGCACCCGCUCUCGCCGUCGCCGCAGUCGUCGUCCUCCUCUUCCUCCUCCGGGGACAUCCCCCGAUCCCUUACGGGGAGGGAUCGCCUCGCCCUCCCCGGCGCCGGGGACCCCGUCUCCGGUGGCUUCUUCCGGCGAGCGACGUGGACGAGCGCGGAGAGCCACGAUUUCGACCUCGAUCGCGAGAGCUUGGAGGUGCUCUCCGCGGAGGAUCCGGAGUGGCCGAAGAGGGUCGAGAGUAUCGAGAACUUGACACCGCCGAUCCCCUUUCCACUCUUCUCCCGCUCCCCGAUCCACAAACCCCCGUCGUCCCCGACGCCCGAGGGGCCGACCUGGGGCGACCUGAAGAAGAGGAAGCUAGGGUUCCGGCGCGGGGCGUCGGAGCGGCGGCGGGGAACGUAGGGGGAGACGGAUCGGGGGAGCGCGAGAGGAGAAGGAUCUAGAGGAGGAAGAGGGCCGAGGGGAUCGCGGUGGUGGCCCGGGGAGGCCUCGUUCUGCGCCGCGGAGAGGGCGAGGAGCCGCUCGCGGAGGCACGGCGCGCACACGCCGCCGCCGCCGCCGCCGCCGCCGUGGUGGAUCUUGCACCUCGUCGUCAUCGCCUCCGCCGCAACCGCCGCCGCCGCCCCUGCUCUCCCCCUUCCGCCAUGAACGAAGGAGACACGGAACUAGGGUUAGGGUUUCAAAAGGUUCUCGCGCCUCCUCGUCGUCGAUCGGAGGGAGAAUGGAGAGUCGAAUUGUUUAGGACUUUUAGAAGAAGCCUCCGCAAUUGGAAUUUUCUUUUCUUUUUUUCCUUUUCUCUUCUCGUGGUUUCGGAUUUAUUAUCGGGGUAUUUAAAAAGCAGGGUGAGCGAGUGAGAGCUGUUGUGGUGAGAUGGGAAUUUAAUGCGGGAGUGAAUCAACGGUCAAAAUCGGGUAGGAUACGCGGGCGCACGCACGACAUAAAAUCCGAAACCGUUUUAGUUUGAAUCGGGUAAGAUGAACCAACCAACUCGGAUGUUCCAUUAUGGAGAGAUGCUACAUAUACUACUGAUGUACACCUAAUAGCCUGUUUGGUUAGUUUAUAAAAGUGUUAAUUUUUUACCUUAGCUUUUCAAAGACCUAGACGUCCUAAUUUGUCUUAUUGUUCUCGUAAUACUAUAAAUUUAAAGGAAUUUUUAAAUUCUUGAUUGGUGAAAGUGAAAUAUGAAAGUAAGAAUAAUCUUUAGAAUAUCUCAAUUACAAUUUGUACAUCGUAAUAAUGUAGGAUCAAAUCAAACCGCUUGCUUCAACGGCUCAAGUGCAAGAUCACAAGAUAAAAAUUGUGCUAAUUUUUACAAUCCGAAUGUCAAAUCAUCCAAAAAUAGAGAGUAAACAUUUCUGAAAAUUUUCUUCUACUAGAGAGUGAUAGGAAAAAGUCUUUGAAUGAGCUAAAAAUUUUUCUCAGUUUCUCUAUUUCUCUCGGUUGUGGUAACAGCACACGUAAUGCAGUGUGGUUUCAAUAACCAACUAAGAAAACCACUGUUGAUAGCCAAAUUUCCUGAUGCCUUGACCCUCCUUGGGAAGUGUGUCGGGGUGGAAAUUGGCUGCUGAUAAUGACCCUCGAAGUCUGCGCCCAAGACAGGUCAAGCGAUUUGACCGAUGAGGGAUCAAAUCGGUCGGGUCCGAAAACCUCCUUAGUAAAUUCGCUUCGGCAAGAUAAGCCGAAUGAACAGGUGGGGCCUAUAUUUCGGCUGAGAGAUGAGCCGAAUAGCUAGGACAAAAACGAGAUUUGGUCGGCCUGAGGAGCCGAAAACGACUUUCUAUUAAUAAGAAGGGAGUGAUGCCCAGAGGGCAGACAGACUCCAAGGUGUACAAGGGAGUGAUGCCCCGAGGGCAGACAGACUCCAAGGUGUUUACAAUGAAGUGAUGCCCGGAGGGCAGACAGACUCCAAGGUGGCUAAGUUACAAGAACUACUCCUAGGCAAAAGCUAGAAAAUGCAGGGAAAAUAAAGGUGGUCUUUUAUGCGCAGGGGCGAAGACCUCUUUUCAGGGUACUACAGGCUUAUUUAUAUAUUUUCCUUUCGUGUUUAGUUAUUGCACGAUCGGCCAUCUUCUCCGGAUUUGAAGGACCACGUUCGGCCGAUUGGAACUGCCGUUGGGAACCGCCCAUAACCACUUGCGGUUGUCACGUUUUUCGAACAAACGCGGCUCAUAUCUCCUGGCGCAUUUUCCGUGCUCCCGAUCCAGCGCUUCGAAUCCUGAAUACGGAUAUGAACUCAGUGUGCCAACUGUCCGCGCCGGAUUGGUUCAACAAUUGCCCCCUCGGCAGCUUUCGAAGCGACGCUUCGGUAGCUGGCGCGAUCUUCAACUUCUUAUUGCCGAAAGCAAGCUUGAUCCGAGGCGUGUUUCUCGGUCCAAUCAAAUUCAAAUCUUCUGACGAGAUCUGCAGCGAUUCGUGACACAAUCUUUCGUACGGUUUUAGCUUUGGCCGUUGAUUCUUUUCUCCACGGCCUUGAUCACAUUUUCAAUUUUGUCUCAUACGCGGCAUUAAUUAGGUCAUCCUAAUUACCGCCGUCUAUUCAUCAUUAUAGCCGACUUCGGGAUUCAUAAUCGACGCAAUAGUUCGAUACGACGGCUUUUUCUUCUUCAUCAAGCUUCCCAUUCUUUUUGUCUCUUUCAAUUCUUCUUUCUUUUCUUAACCGAAUCUCUCGGCUCUUCUCUUCUUUUGAACAAUGUCUCUGGUUCCUCCUCUUCCUUCUCAUUCAUCUCUUGACUAUACCAUACUCAAACCCUUCGUUGAUUUAGAUCCUUCUAGGUUUAUAUUAGGACCUUCUCUUUUAGACAUACCAUCCCCUACUGACUCCCCUUUCUCUGAUGAGGGAUUUCCUCUGAAAAGAGUUAUUCAUCUCCAUUCUUGGUACUCAUCAGCUUCGACAGGGAAGAGUCUCAGGACUUGGCCAAGUGUCUCUGAAGCGUAUUUGGCCUGGUUAGAUAGAGUAGAAUCCGCUUACGGCGCCUCCUGGCGAGAAAUCGGCAUUUAUGAAGCGAUUCAAUUAUCUCGGCACCCUCCUAUAGCUGAUAAUCUUCUUCUAGCCACCGCUCUUUGUUUCUGGUCCCCUGUUUCCAAUACUUUUCUUUUCAAAAGAGGACCUCUAACCCCCACUCUUUUUUAUGUAGCCGCCAUUGUUGGCUUACGCCCUCAUGGCGUCACCCUUUCUAUGGCCUACAAUCCUAAUGGUGUGUCUGAUUUCGAAGAACACUUCGAUCUUAAUGAUUUGGCUUACUCCAAAUUCCUCCGAAAAUUUGCAGGUGAAUCCCCUGCUCCAGUCACCAGACAGGAACAUACGGCGUUCCUCCUAUACUGGUUGUGCCAUAAUCUUUUCUGCACUCGUUCGUAAAAAAUCAAUCGGGAUUUUGUUCCGAUCGCCAUCGGUUUAUCUAGUGGCGAUAAGUUGGCCUUAGGGCCAUAUUUCCUUGCUUUUGUUUACAGGAAAAUUUUUGAUUCCAUUAAAUCACUACCUUCCGGUGAUGGUAUUGCCAUUAGUUCUGGGUGUGGCGUUUUUUGGUUUUUGCAAAUGUUUCUUCAAUUCUAUAUCCCAGCUUUAUGUCAAUCUCCUUUCAAUCCCAUUUCAGCUGCCCAGUUUGAUUCUUAUGGGCUAGCUCUCGGCUGUCCACAGCCGAUGACCUCUGGUCAACCUUCUGAUUUUCUGACUUAUUUUAAGGCUUUUUAUGAGCCAUCAUCUGAUUCAGCUAUUUCUUGGGCUCCUUUUGUUGAUCGUCUCACCGGCCCCUCUUGGUUCCUGGCUCGAUUUGAAGCCCUUCAAGGCGAGCUAUCUUCUUCUCGCGCUGGUGAACAUUCAGAUUUAUGGUAUUCCUAUCUAGCUCCCCGAGAUCUUCAUGUGGGGCUCAAAUCGCGUUCAAAGUUACUACCGAGUACUGAGGUUUACUCUCCUCAGUAUGUAGCGCGGCAGUUUGGACUUAUUCAGCCGAUCCCAGCUCCUUCUAAAUUUUUUACGGCCAACACAGCCGAUCAUCGUCCUCCCACCAAGAGUAUAUUUGAAGCUGACAAGCUUUCGGCCAUGGGAAAUCGUCUUAGGCGCUUCUUCCAGCUAGCAAGCUUUCGUCCGAACUAUACAGGAGUAGCCCUUUCCGGCUAUGCUACCACGUGGGAUCAGUUUACUAACAGCUUCUUUGAUCUUUCUUUGCCUCGAGCAUUCCGCAAAACCAUCCAUCCACUUGGUUGGUCAUCUGAUGCUUAUUUAUAAUUUUCUUCCAAUAUGGCUGUAAUAUAUAUAUAUAUAUAUAUAUAUAUAUAUAUAUAUAUAUAUAUUUUAUUUAUACACAGCCACUACUCCGAGCAGAGAUUCUUCAACCGAAACUGAGUCUCCACCGGAAACAAUUUCCGAUGCUCCACCUUUUUCCUCGGUAAUCUAUCAUUUCUUUAUUCGUCUUGAUCGUAAUCUUUUUCUCUGCUCAUCACUUUCGUUUAUUUCUAUUUUUAGUCAAUCCCUGCUUCUCCAUCGGUUCCAGUCUCCGACAAAAAACCUAUUGAAGUUGUUCAAAUCACUUCUCCGCCAUCCUCAAAACGGCGCAAGUCAGUGGCCAAAAGAAAAUUUCAACAAACCGAAUGCACAUCUUCGGCUGAAGUCACUAAAGACAGAGUCGAAGACAUUCUUUCGGCUGACGUUCCAGCGCAAGAAACUAUUACACCGUCUUCGGCUACUAGACAAUCCCCCAUCUUAUCUGAACCAAUUGAUGUUGAGGUAAGCCGAAUUAAUUAGUCAACAUUUCUUAAUUAUUUAUAGUUUUCUUUUACUACAGUCUUCCCCUGAGCGAGCCCUUUUUGCUUAUUAUUCUAAGAUGCAGAUGGAAAGGCAACUUCGUCGUGAAGUUCGACUUGAGAGAAAGAGCGGGAUGGAAAAAACAAAAAGGUUUAUCAAAACGGCGAGUGCGACGCCGUUGCCAAGUGAGGUUUCGUCGCCUCUUUUCACUCCUAUCCUAACAUCAACUACAGAGACUGAACGAAACAAGAUACCUCUUGAGCGAACCUCUGAGGACAAAGUCACUACUCCUCCCCAUUCGACUCAGGGAGCUUCUUUCUCUACUCCUGAUGAUCCUUUAUUUGCAAUUCUUCAUUCUUUUUUGACUUCAAGCCCUAGCUCCAAUGAGGGGGAUGAUCCUUCGACUGUGACUAUUUCAUCAGAUACCCAGAAUAAACUCAAUGAAUGUCUUAAAAUAUUUGGCAUCGGAAUUCCAAAUUUAGCUCAGACUCCCGAGCAGUCUGAUCGGCUCUAUGCCCUUUUACUCGACUUAGCCGAUCGAUCAGAUGUUUCUCCUGGUAUCAAAUAUUUUGUGUCAACCUUAUCACUCCAACUUUCAUCUUUUUUGGCUCGGCAGCAAUCUUUAGGUGCCGAACUUGUAACUUUAGAUCAACAUUUUUAUCGCGUUGAUCAUUUCAAGAAAAAUAUACCUGAUAUAGCAGCUCCGCAUACUGAGGUGCAUCGAGAGGAUAAAGAAUUAGCUGAUCAAGAAUCGGCUUUGCAAAAGCGAAUCUCCUCACUUAAAGAAGAAUUGGCAGCAGCCGAAUCCACUCUCGCGCAUACCUCCAAGCGUCGACUUCAAUUAAAAGAUCAAUUGAGAUCUAAAAAGGAGGAAAGGAUAAAACUUAAAGAAGAACUUUCCCAACUUUACAAAGUGCAUCCUCUGAUGAAGCGCCGAAUGAAAGCUGCCGAAACUGCCCAAGCCAAUCUUAUAGCCGAAUAGAAUCAGCUUAGAGACUUAUUAUCUUGAUUCGGCUUGUAAUAUUUAAUCCUGAUUUUGAUUAUUUUCCCACAUGGAUGGGUAAUAUCUCUUUAAAUAUUUACCGUUGAUUGGUUUUUCAUUUUCUGUCCUAUCUUUGUUUUGCAAAUAAUACGCAUUUCCUCUUACAACUCGACUAACCUGAAAUGGUCCUUCCCAAUUUGGAGACCAUUUCCCAUACACUCGGUCUUUUUGACCGAUCGGAAAAACCAGUCGAAGUACCAAAUCACCAAUGGCAAAUGUCUUUGAUCGAACUUUCUUAUUAUACGCAUUACGCACUCGGCUCUGGUAAGCUUGCAUAUUAUCUAAAGCUAUCAACCGAGUGUCUGUCAGUUCUUCUGUUUUAUCUUUCAUUAACUGAUUAUAUUCAUCGGCCGAAAGAUUUUUUUAUUUUUCUAUCCUUAAAGAAGGAACUAUUAUUUCGGCUGGAAUUACAGCCUCAUGGCCGUAAACUAGUUGGAAUGGUGUCAUCCCUGUUGCCGUUUUCACUGAGGUUCGGCAUGACCAUAAUACUUCGGAAAGCUUUUCGUUCCAUUUUCUUGGAUGUUUUCCGAUAUGUCGUUUCAUAAGGUUAACGACUAUCUUAUUUGCUGCUUCUACUUGCCCAUUCGCUUGGGCAUAAUAAGGAGACGAAUGGAGUAGCUUUAUCUUUCGAGAUUCAAUGAACCGAACGAACUGUCCUCCUGUGAACAUUGUCCCUUGAUUGGUUGUAAUGAUCUCAGGAAUCCCAAAGCGAUGAAUUAUAUGAUCUUCAACAAAAUCAAUCAUUUUCUUUUGUGUAACCAACCGAGUGGGUUUGGUUUCCACCCACUUAGUAAAAUAAUCGAUGGUUACUAUUAGAAAUUUGUGACCAGCCGAUGAAUUCGGCUGAAUUUCUCCAACUAAAUCAAUGGCCCAUUCUCGAAAAGGCCAUGGUUUAAUUAUUGCGUACAUCUCAAAGGCAGGAACCCUCUGAAUCGGGCCAUGAAAUUGACAUUCUUGGCAACCCUUGGCAUACUCUAUGCAAUCUUGGUGCAUAGUUGGCCAAUAAUAUCCUAGGUGCCGAAUGGUCCAUCUUAACUUUUUUCCUGCCAUAUGGGUUCCACAUAUUCCUUCAUGUGUUUCCGCUAUUACCAAUAGAGCUUCUUCCGGCCCUAAACAUUUCAAUAAAACUUCUUCGGCUGUUCUUUUGUAUAGUUGACCGUCUAAUAAGCAGUAGCCGAGAGCCCUUCUUCGAAUAUUAUAAUCAACCCUUGUAUUGGGAUCCUCCAAAUAUUUAAUUAAUGAUUUCCUCCACUCAUCUUUUACUUCUAUAGAAGCUAUGAUCGGCUCUCGUAUAUGAACCGAAGGUAGCAGUCUCUUGUGUAUUAUUAUUGACUCUGAUUUCGGUUCUCUGUAUCCUGAAGCCGAUUGGGCUAAUUCGUUUGCCCUUUCAUUUUCCUGUCUGUUCAAAUGUUCAAGUUCGGCUUCUCCGAAAUUGCAUAAUAAUUCUAAUGUCUUUCUCAGAUAAUUUUGCAAAUUUGGAUUUUCACAUCGGUAUUCUCCUUUAACCUGCUUGAUCACUAAAUGUGAGUCACCGAUGACUUUUAUUGACUUAACUCUCAAUUCUUGCAAUAUUUCAAGGCCGAUUAUCAAGGCCUCAUAUUCGGCUUGGUUGUUGGAACAGCCGAAAUCCAAUUUAAAUGCAAAUUGACAAAUAUAACCUUCAGGUGACUGUAUCACUAUCCCUACUCCUACAGAUUCAGUUGUUUUUGAACCGUCAAAGUAUAAUACCCAAGGUUGACAACCGAUUACGUUCUGUAUCGGCUCCUCUAUUUCUACACAUGGGUGAUCAGCCAAAAAAUCAGCUAUAGCCUGGCCUUUGAUAGCUUUAGCAGUAACGUAAUUAAGGGAGAACUCAGAUAAAGCCAAUAUCCAUUUUCCAAUACGUCCUCGUAGCACUGGCUUGGAUAACAUAUAUUUUAUCAAAUCGGUCUUGCAUAUUACCAAUACUUCAGUUGACAAAAUAUAAUAUCUCAAUUUUGUGCAUGCAUAAUAUAAAGCCAAACAUAAUUUUUCUAUAGCCGAGUACCGUUUCUCUGUAUCUAGCAAACGUCGGCUUAGGUAAUAAAUAGCUUGCUCUUCUUUCUCUUCAUUUUCUUGAGCCAGCAAACACCCUAAAUUUUCGUCUGCAGCCGAUAUAUAUAGCUUCAUCGGCUGAUUCGGUUUUGGAGGUACCAAUACCGGAGGGUUUGAUAAAUAUCUUUUUAUAUUUUCAAAUGCCUCCUGCUGUUCCUCUGCCCAAACGAAUUCUUCCUUAUCUUUCAGCCGAAGUAAUGGAGUAAACACCCCGAUUCUUCCGGCUAAAUUAGAUAUAAACCGUCGAAGAUAAUUUACCUUCCCCAACAAACUCUGUAAUUCCUUUUUGCAUUUGGGUGGCGGUAACUCUACUAUUGCUUUUGCUUUAUUUUUAUCAAUUUCAAUCCCUUUCUUAUGCACCAAAAAUCCUAAGAAAUUUCCUGCCGAAACCCCAAAGGCGCAUUUCAAAGGAUUCAUUUUUAAAUUGUAUUUUCUCAUUCUUUCAAAAGCGAGUUUUAAAUCGAUCCAAUGUUCGGCUUGCGACUCGGAUUUGAUAACUAUAUCAUCG
rnacentral:lncRNA from 1 species